rnacentral:rRNA from 1 species
UACGGAGGGAGCUAGCGUUGUUCGGAAUUACUGGGCGUAAAGCGCACGUAGGCGGCUUUGUAAGUUAGAGGUGAAAGCCCAGGGCUUAACCCUGGAAUUGCCUUUAAGACUGCAUCGCUAGAAUCGUGGAGAGGUGAGUGGAAUUCCGAGUGUAGAGGUGAAAUUCGUAGAUAUUCGGAAGAACACCAGUGGCGAAGGCGACUCACUGGACACGUAUUGACGCUGAGGUGCGAAAGCGUGGGAGCAAACAGG